ensembl:snoRNA SNORA62 Small nucleolar RNA SNORA62/SNORA6 family
GAUGCACAUUGUUAGAGCUUGGAGCUGAGGCUGCUGGCUAAUGAACUCACAAGUAUAGGUGGUGUGCUAUGUGAGGGGCAAGUUUUUCUCUACCACCACGAGGGUGGCUGGCCCAAUGAGUGGAGUUUGAUAAUAAUACUUGCUACAAAA